GCCUUCGUGGUGUAGUGGUUCUGCACGCUGGACCAGCAUUCCAGAGAUCCGUGGUUCGAUUCCCGGCGAAGGCG
rnacentral:tRNA from 1 species